GACGAACGCUGGCGGCGUGCUUAACACAUGCAAGUCGAACGGAAAGGCCCUGCUUUUGUGGGGUGCUCGAGUGGCGAACGGGUGAGUAACAAGUGAGUAACCUGCCCUUGACUUUGGGAUAACUUCAGGAAACUGGGGCUAAUACCGGAUAGGAGCUCCUGCUGCAUGGGGGGGGUUGGAAAGUUUGGGCGGUUGGGGAUGGACUCGCGGCUUAUCAGCUUGUUGGUGGGGUAGUGGCUUACCAAGGCUUUGACGGGUAGGCUGCCUGAGAGGGUGACCGGCCACAUUGGGACUGAGAUACGGCCCAGACUCCUACGGGAGGCAGCAGUGGCGAAUAUUGCACAAUGGGCGGAAGCCUGAUGCAGCAACGCCGCGUGCGGGAUGACGGCCUUCGGGUUGUAAACCGCUUUCGCCUGUGACGAAGCGUGAGUGACGGUAAUGGGUAAAGAAGCACCGGCUAACUACGUG
rnacentral:rRNA from 1 species